UACGUAGGGUGCAAGCGUUGUCCGGAAUUAUUGGGCGUAAAGAGCUCGUAGGCGGUUUGUCGCGUCUGCAGUGAAAUCCCGAGGCUCAACCUCGGGUCUGCAGUGGGUACGGGCAGACUGGAGUGCGGUAGGGGAGAAUGGAAUUCCUGGUGUAGCGGUGGAAUGCGCAGAUAUCAGGAGGAACACCGAUGGCGAAGGCAGUUCUCUGGGCCGUAACUGACGCUGAGGAGCGAAAGCGUGGGGAGCGAACAGG
rnacentral:rRNA from 1 species